CGUCACGAACAUCCUCUGUGCAUGAUGACGUUUUCGAAUCCGUAGCUCUGUGUAGCAGAGACCGGGUGUGAGAUUGAAAAGUUCUCCUGUGCCGGUAUCUCUACAGAAAGGUACGGCUAAUCUACGUGCCAGCAGCCGCGUUAAUACGGUAGGUCUCGAUCGUGUCCGAAUUAUUGCGACGUAAUGCGAGCGCAGCCGUGAGAUCAGUCUGAAGCUAAUGGCUGAGGCUGAUCCAUAGUACGCUCUGGAAAUCUGUUUACUUGAGUGCAAGAGGGAGAGUGGAAUUCCAUGCGUAGCGGUGAAAUGCGUAGAUAUAUGGAGGAACACCGGUGGCGAAAGCGGCUCUCUGGCUUGUAACUGACGAUGAGGCUAGAAAGCGUGGAGGAGCAAACAGGAUUAGAUACCCUGGUAGUUCACGCCGUAAACGAUGAGUGGUAGGUGUUAGACCCUUUCCGGGGUUUAGUGCCGCAGCUAACGCAUUAAGCACUCCGCCUGGGGAGUACGACCGCAAGGUUGACACUCAAAGGAAUUGACGGGGGCCCGCACAAGCGGUGGAGCAUGUGGUUUAAUUCGAAGCAACGCGAAGAACCUUAACAGGUCUUGACAUCCCUCUGACCUCUCUAGAGAUAGAGAUUUCCUUCGGGACAGAGGUGACAGGUGGUGCAUGGUUGUCGUCAGCUCGUGUCGUGAGAUGUUGGGUUAAGUCCCGCAACGAGCGCAACCCCUAUUGUUAGUUGCCAUCAUUCAGUUGGGCACUCUAGCGAGACCGCCGGUAAUAAACCGGAGGAAGGUGGGGAUGAUGUCAAAUCAUCAUGCCCCUUAUGACCUGGGUUACACACGUGGUACAAUGGAGGGUACAACGAGUCGCAAGCCGGUGACGGCAAGCUAAUCUCUUAAAGCCAGUUUCAGUUCGGAUUGUAGGCUGCAACUCGCAAACAUGAAGUCGGAAUCGCUAGUAAUUGAGGAUCAGCACGCCGCGGUGAAUACGUUCCCGGGCCUUGUACACACCGCCCGUCACACCACGAGAGUUUGUAACACCGGAAGUCGGUGAGGUAACCGUAAGGAGCCAACCGCCUAAGGUGGGAUAGAUGAUUGGGGUGAAGUCGAACAAGGUAACC
rnacentral:rRNA from 1 species